rnacentral:rRNA from 1 species
GGAAACGAUGGCUAAUACCGCAUGAUGCCUACGGGCCAAAGAGGGGGACCUUCGGGCCUCUCGCGUCAGGAUAUGCCUAGGUGGGAUUAGCUAGUUGGUGAGGUAAGGGCUCACCAAGGCGACGAUCCCUAGCUGGUCUGAGAGGAUGAUCAGCCACACUGGAACUGAGACACGGUCCAGACUCCUACGGGAGGCAGCAGUGGGGAAUAUUGCACAAUGGGCGCAAGCCUGAUGCAGCCAUGCCGCGUGUGUGAAGAAGGCCUUCGGGUUGUAAAGCACUUUCAGUCGUGAGGAAGGCGGUGUAGUUAAUAGCUGCAUCGUUUGACGUUAGCGACAGAAGAAGCACCGGCUAACUCCGUGCC